AUAGUACAUUGUUAGAACUUGGAGUUGAAAUCACUGGCUGGUUGAUGAACUAUCAAAUGUAGGUAGUAUGCCUCACAAGGGACAAAUUAUUCUGCUAACACCACAAGGGUCUUUGGCCUGAUGAGUGGCAUUUGACAGUAAUUCUUGCUACAAAU